AUAACUUAGUCCCUCUCUCUACACUGGCAGCUGUGAGAACCCCGAGGAUCCAUACCGUGUGGUCUUCCACCCGGUAGAAGUUGACGCCAGGGUCCGCUUCCCCCCCUCACGUCAAACGCUUUGAGGCCUUUAUGUUUUCCUUCGCCGGUGAUGCGGUUGAGCCGAGUGGCCAGGUCUUUGUCCAUUGUGAUGUGGUCAUCUGUGAUGCCAGUUGUCCCACUGGCGGCCCCUGUAGUGGACAAUGUGUGAAUCAGGACAACCUGAAAAGAGGUCAACGACAUGUCAAAGACCUCUUUGAGGAGCGUCAUGUAUAUGUUUCUUCUGGAUACAUUCUUUGGGUGUAAUGUAUUGUUCUAACAUGUCAAAUAAAGUGUUCUAUAUAAAACAAU